GCCAUGUCCCAUCCUCUCUUCCCAAGCUGAUCCUGGUAUAUGGGACCAAUUCUGGCCCCCCAAAAUAAGUCUCCGUGCCUGGGGAAAGGCACCGUUCGCUUAGAAGGAUCACUGAGAAUUGACUGGAGAAUGACUUCCACAGAAAGCACCCUCAGGCUCCAACCCGGCGCGGCCCGGAGGCUUCCCGGGGGCCAACAGCCCAGGACCUGUCGCCGAUCUCUACGGCCCUGCCAGCCAGGACUCCGGAGUGGGGAAUUACAUAAGUGCGGCCAGCCCACAGCCGGGCUCGGGCUUCGGCCACGGCAUAGCUGUAACAUACCUGGAUGUCCAGGCAAGACUGGGCGAAGUUUCUGAGUGGCCCUUUGUUUAGGUGAUGUCCUCAGACCUGGACCCCCACCAGCCUCACUCCCCAUCCCAACCAGAGAUGGCUCACUUCGGAUCGAGGGUUGACUACAUCUCAUCAUCUCACGAAUCUGCUGUAAUAUAAGACAACAGCUUUUAAAUGUGUAUAUAACCCAUGAUUUCGGUUUUGUUUUGUUUUGUUUUUCUUGAUGGUUUCCCUCUCCCUCCCUCUCUUCCCAUUCUCCUUUUAAAUCUCUUUGAAUCACAUUUGGUAGUGAUUUUGACUUAGUCCAGUAGUCACAUAGCUUUAAUAUCUAGUUCAAAGCUAACCAUAGUAUAAUUGUUAUAUUAAGGAGUUAUUUUUUCUUAAAACAUUUUUUUUUGCUUGUUUUGGUUCUGUUCUCACUUUUAAAGGAUGCUGAGAUGGUAAUAUGACUCUCCAUAUUUUGGUACCAAUUCUGAGACUGUAUGAAUUUUCAGGUGGAACUUUAGCACACACUGAAGCAAAGUUGUGAAGUGCAGGGCGGGAGGUGGGCGUGAGCUUUCUAUUUUGCGUUGUAGAAGAAGUGAGAUGUAGUAAGCUAAUUAACAGACUUUCUAGCAGUUCUUUUUGUGAUGUCUCUUUGUUAAUCUGAGUCUAUCUAUUUUCGGCAAUAAGGUAAGGACGACAGUGUUUUGAGUGUCCUCCUUUUCUAUAAGUGCUUUUUUUCUGUUGAAAGAGGUGAUAUUAUAAGGUUUUUUGAAAUUGUGAAUUCUAAAAAAGAAAUGUUGUAAAUACAAUUCCAUUAACUACAUAGAAACUA
rnacentral:lncRNA from 1 species